AUUGAACGCUGGCGGCAUGCCUUACACAUGCAAGUCGAACGGUAACAGGUCUUCGGAUGCUGACGAGUGGCGAACGGGUGAGUAAUACAUCGGAACGUGCCCGAUCGUGGGGGAUAACGCAGCGAAAGCUGUGCUAAUACCGCAUACGAUCUACGGAUGAAAGCGGGGGAUCGCAAGACCUCGCGCGGACGGAGCGGCCGAUGGCAGAUUAGGUAGUUGGUGGGAUAAAAGCUUACCAAGCCGACGAUCUGUAGCUGGUCUGAGAGGACGACCAGCCACACUGGGACUGAGACACGGCCCAGACUCCUACGGGAGGCAGCAGUGGGGAAUUUUGGACAAUGGGCGCAAGCCUGAUCCAGCCAUGCCGCGUGCAGGAUGAAGGCCUUCGGGUUGUAAACUGCUUUUGUACGGAACGAAAAGCUCUCUCUAAUACGAGGGGUGAAUGACGGUACCGUAAGAAUAAGCACCGGCUAACUACGUGCCAGCACG
rnacentral:rRNA from 1 species